UCAGGGACGGAUAUACUUUUUGGACCACUAUAAGAGUAUUCAAGUCACAUGUUGACUCGCUUAUUAGCUCCCAAGAAAUGUCCCUGCAAAGAGCAAGCAUCCUAUUGGAAACAAGGUACGUAGUCUUUAGAGGAUUUUACUGAUAUUGAGUGUUCUAUCAAUCAAGGUUUGGGCAUUCAAGUGAUAUGAAAAUUCUUUGGGAAUGUAAAAUUGCUGAUGAGAUGAAACAGGCAUGAAAUGUCUACAAGCAGCCAUGAAGUCUCACAAAGUUACGAGGAGUUGUUAAGAAAGUGAUUUGAAAUAGCUGAUGAAACGGAAGAAUACUGAUAGGAACCAGAUCCAGAACUACGAAUAUUUCGUAUUAGAUGAAGAAUAGUCUCUAGAAUAGAAAUAUCAAGAUAAAACACAGUAAAAGAAAUCAGAACAGAUAGAGGGUCGCAUACAAUCCUAGAACUAAAAUAGAUGGAAGGUCGCAUACAACCCUCCAGCCCUUUCUUGUCAAUGCACAAGAUACUAACUCCGAUUCCUCCCCCUUUCUUUCUUGAUCCGCCCCUCUUUAUAUCUUCUCAUUUCCCUCUCUUAUUUAGGAAGUUAGUCUCCUGCCAUAACUGCUCUUGCCAUAACCGCUUUUUGCCAUAACUGCUCUUUGCUGUAAUUGUGCCUUCCCUCAAUAAUACGAACUGUUAUUGACUUAUUGGGCUUUGGUCCUUCUUUCUUCUAACAUAUGUGCAUGGAGCCUUAUCAAAUACACGAACUUUUCAAUGUUGUAGUUCCAACGUUAUUCUAAAUAAAGGUUAACGUAACAUCUUGUGGAAUGAAUUACUGUCGGUAUUCUAUGUAACUUAAUGCUAGAGUUGUUCAAGGUCCCGCCUUUUUGAAUGCAUAGAAAAACGGAAUUUUCUUAUGCAAUACCCUUUCUUAACGUGGAUCUCAUAGCUGUGAAUAAACUGGUGCAGAAUAGGAAAGCCUAAUGAUGAAUACUUUGAAGUUAUCGCUGAUAGGUGAAGAAGAUAUCUUAGUGGGUAUUGUGUAUUGUAUGUACUGUUGGAUCAAAUGAAAGGUCAUAGUGAGGAGACGGUAUUAUGAUGAGAUUGAUACGGUCUAGUGAUAGAAAAAAAGUAUUAUAUUUGAAUGAUUAUGGCUUUGUGAAGUUAGGGAUAACAGUUACAUGUAUGGAUAUCAUUUACAGUGAGCAACGUGCAAAGAAGGUAUGGUGGGUUUCUGACGAAGGAACAAAAUAAUCAUGUUUUUUGGGGUAGAAGGGGAAGCAAAAGACUCAGCAACUUGAAUGGAAAUAUGUGGAAGGACAGAUGGAUCCAUUUAAACAAUGUGGUUUUCAAAUUCUCGGACAUAAUGGCUUGGGAUCCCAGUCAGGUGGUAUUGGUGGAUGCUGAUGAUGCAACAUAAACAAAUAUUCUUGGCCAAGGCAAGAUAUUGAAAAGCAAACUUAUCUACAGUGCACAUUGAAAAAACCAAUAGUCGGGCUAACUAAAUGCUGUUGCCAUCCCGUGGACCUUAAUUGCACUCUUCAUCCCAUUAUCUGGAGAGAGAGAUAGACUUUUGACAGAAGGUCCAGUCAAAAGUACUGCUAGCAGAUGUUCGGACGUUGGUGAGCAUGGAAAAAAUUGAUCUGAAACUAUUACAGACCCGAUUAGAAUGUUGCUAUAAAAGCAUACUGAUGGUAAUCAUGGUCGAGAAAGAAAGAAAGCUUUUGGACGUUGUGCAUGGGAUCAUCUGCUUCGGAUCAUAAUUGUCACCUGCUGAUCUACUUUAGGGACGCAAAUGUGACCCCCCUUGAAUACAAAAAAUUGCCGCCAAAUAGGCUGAAUUAUCUAAUUAUCUUUCUGAGCUGAUCUCGUCUACUCCCACAUAGUGUGUUCGUUAAAGGCUAGCAGAGAGAUAAGAAGAUCAGGGGAAGGGUCCUCCGCUGGAGCUCAGCCUAUGUAUGCCACUUAUACGUUACUCCCCAAAUCAAUGAGUCUGGCUUGCUUUUCAUUUCUGGGAAAAUUUUUACUGUCGUUGGCUUUUUCUAAAUGACCCUGAAUGAUAAUUGUUGUGGUUUUGCAUUAUUUAAGUGAUUCUUUAACAUAAUUUAUGUAGUUUUGAUUAUAUCGUCCCUCUUUCACCCAAAAAACGUUGGCAGUUCCCGCAUGCUAUCCUGGAUGAUUGGAUCACAGUCGGAUCAUUAUCCAGACUGAUUCCAGAUCCCAUUUGCAGAAUAGCAUUUUAUUUGGAAGAUUAUGUGCUUUUAUAAUUAUGCUUAUUUUGAGAAUAUUUAAAUGCUACGUUACUUUCCCCUUUUAAAAAUGUAAUAAUUUCUGAGUGAACUAGUCUGACAGUUAACAUUUCUUAUUGAUUUGCAUUUUGGAAAUUUGUUUGUAUAUUGAAUCACAUAUCCAAAAGAUAUCUUGGAAUAGAUACUGAUCCCGAGUCUAGACCAUGUCGGAAAUAAAAUAUGCUAUAUUAGCUGUUGAGAUUUGCAACUAUCUUAUACUGUGUGCAACCUUGGCUUUACUUGGGACGCUUUCUUUAAGAGUUCUUGAGGUAGCUUGAGCCAAAUUUGUAAAAGAAAUUAGCAAGAGCAUUUGCCGUCUUUUCACUGUCUUAUCAGAAAAGAAGAGAUUAACUUGCCCAACCAAGGUGAAAUGACCUAUUUAGUCUGGUUAAAAUCCACAAUUAUUGUGAAUUCAGUUCAGUUACAUUGAUUAUUAUAUGAAGGGCAAGGGCAGUGUAAAUAUCUUAAGCUAUCGCUCUAAAGUUGGCAACAAGGGAAUGAGUCAAAUAUUUAUAUCCUUCUGAAGAGAAGAGUGUAUGUUGUAAGUUAUUUAUGAGAAUUAUGUCUCUUCCAGGAUUAUCAUUUCGUGGCUCUUUAGUAUUCUGUUUAUUUUUGGCCAUUUUGAGGAGACUUCCAUUCGACAGUUGUUUAUCUUAUCGUGGUCUCUGCGCAGUGAGCGAAGAUGUCCUCAAUAUAAUUGUCUUUUCUAGUACAAUGGGUAUCCAAAGUAAGUUCACCGCCCAGUCGUUGAAUAUUUGCAAUAAUUUUGUGUUGGAAUUUAAGGGCUAGGGAUCUACAGUCGUCAUAUUUUCCCGGACCCAGACAGCUUGUUCACAGAUGAAGAACACAGUAAGGUAAAAAGAGAUUGCGAGCUUCAGUGAGAGCUGAACACACCAGAUAUGGACAACUUUUUUUUGUAAGAUGAUGUGACAAAAGAAAUCGAAGUUGGAGUUACCAGACAGAUGCUAUUUCGAGCCAAGAUAGGUUGCCGUUUGUUUUUAGUGAUUUCUUUCAGGAGAAUGCGCCAGAUAAUGAUUUUUAUGCGUGUAGUGAUAUGAUAUUUUUUUAAUUGCAUAAUAUUAUUUCCUUGGGGAGAUUGUUAGAUUAUGCAGAGUUUCCUGUUUCCCACGUCAUUUUCUGCAACAUUUCUCACUGCGUUUCACAGAUGCAGCAAGAUGUUAGUUAAUGUGUGAAUAAUCAUUUGCAGAUGCAAGUGUGAUCAGCAUGGUUGUUGGAGGUGGAGUGGCUGCCCUGAAAGCCCUUGAGCACGGCAGCGGCCUUCUCAUGAAUGAGAUGCCCAUCUACGUGAGCCGAUAUCAUUUAACUGAGAAUAUAAUAUACCUUGGAGUUCAGGGGAAUCAUGAGUACAUUAUUUAUUUUAUUUAUUUAUUUAUUUUCAUGUGUGGCAGAUUUCAGAGGUCUUGUGAGAAGACCCGUGGGCACGAGGAUCGCGAGCAUGGGGAAAGCAAGAACUUGGAAUGGAAGACGGCGAUCAUAUAUAUAUAGAAUGCGCAAUGUGUAAGUUACUUUCUCGACAAUACUUUCUCGAGAUUCACGCAUGAAAGUAGAGAGAGACAGAGACACAGACACAGACACAGAGAGAGUAAGUUAGUCGGCAAUAGAAGGAUUCACACAUUAGCUGGAGCAGGGUGUUCCCCGCUGGCCUGGCUCGCCCACAGUAGCGGGGGUCACGGAGCCGGCGUGAAGGGGCCUCGUGACGUAGGAGAGACCUCCCAGUAAUGAAUGAGAAUGGGUCAGAAUAGGGGGGGAUUGACCCAUUUCAAUGGAUGUAUUUUGAGCUGCAAUAUAUAAUUUCUAGACUUGGGCAGUUUUUGGCCCAUUCGAUUAAAUGUUUUAA
rnacentral:lncRNA from 1 species